rnacentral:tRNA from 1 species
GCCUGCGUGGCUCAGUUGGAUAAGCAUCUGACUCUUGGUGUCAGCUCAGGUCAUGAUCUCGUGGGUUGUGAGUUCAAACCCCACCUCAGGCU